AAGGAGGAAACGAAACCAACAGGGAUUGCCCCAGUAACGGCGAGUGAAGCGGNAACAGCUCAAAUUUGAAAUCUGGCCCCCUAGGGGGUCCGAGUUGUAAUUUGCAGAGGAUCUUUUGGCGAGGCGCCGGCCGAGUGCCUGGAAUGGGACGCCGUAGAGGGUGAGAGCCCCGUACGGCCGGACGUCGAGCCUCUGUAAAGCUCCCUCGACGAGUCGAGUAGUUUGGNAAUGCUGCUCUAAACGGGAGGUAAACCCCUUCUAAAGNUAAAUACCGGCCAGAGACCGAUAGCGCACAAGUAGAGUGAUCGAAAGAUGAAAAGCACUUUGAAAAGAGAGUUAAACAGCACGUGAAAUUGUUGAAAGGGAAGCGCUUGUGGCCAGACUUGCGCCCGGUGGCUCAGCCGUCCCUCGUGGGCGGUGCACUCCGCCGGGCUCAGGCCAGCAUCAGCUCGCUGCUGGGGAGAAAGGCGGUGGGAACGUGGCUCUUCGGAGUGUUAUAGCCCGCCNCCAUGCCCUCCAGCGGGCUGAGGUUCGCGCCAAGGAUGCUGNCGUAAUGNCCAUCAGCGANCCGUCUUGAAACACGGACCAAGGAGUCGUCCUAACAUGCGAGUGUUCGGGUGCCAAACCCCUACGCGAAAUGAAAGUGAACGGAGGUGAGAGCUUCGGCGCAUCAUCGACCGAUCCUGAUGUUUUCGGAUGGAUUUGAGUAGGAGCAUGCUGGGCCGGACCCGAAAGAAGGUGAACUAUGCUUGGAUAGGUCCAAGCCAGAGGAAACUCUGGUGGAGGCUCGCANCGGUUCUGACGUGCAAAUCGAUCGUCAAAUCUGAGCAUGGGGNCGAAAGACUAAUCGAACCUUCUA
rnacentral:rRNA from 1 species